AUCAAGGGAGUAGCUAACGUGUAAACGUGAUAAUAUCGACAAUCCGAGUAAUCCGGUAUUAUCUUAAAAAGUGAGACUUGUGGCCGUGCCACAAGUCUCUAUUU
rnacentral:ncRNA from 1 species